ACCGGGAUAACCCUGGGAAACUGGGGAUAAUACUGGAUAGGCAAUUUUUCCUGUAAUGGUUUUUUGUUUAAAUGUUUUUUCGCCUUAGGAUGGGUCUGCGGCCGAUUAGGUAGUUGGUUAGGUAAUGGCUUACCAAGCCGUUGAUCGGUACGGGUUGUGAGAGCAAGAGCCCGGAGAUGGAACCUGAGACAAGGUUCCAGGCCCUACGGGGUGCAGCAGGCGCGAAACCUCCGCAAUGUGAGAAAUCGCGACGGGGGGAUCCCAAGUGCCAUUCUUAACGGGAUGGCUUUUCAUUAGUGUAAAGAGCUUUUGGAAUAAGAGCUGGGCAAGACCGGUGCCAGCCGCCGCGGUAACACCGGCAGCUCUAGUGGUAGCAAUUUUUAUUGGGCCUAAAGCGUCCGUAGCCGGUUUAAUAAGUCUCUGGUGAAAUCCUGCAGCUUAACUGUGGGAAUUGCUGGAGAUACUAUUAGACUUGAGACCGGGAGAGGUUAGAGGUACUCCCAGGGUAGAGGUGAAAUUCUGUAAUCCUGGGAGGACCGCCUGUUGCGAAGGCGUCUAACUGGAACGGUUCUGACGGUGAGGGACGAAAGUUAGGGGCGCGAACCGGAUUAGAUACCCGGGUAGUCCUAACUGUAAACGAUGCGGACUUGGUGUUGGGGUGGCUUUGAGCUGCUUCAGUGCCGAAGGGAAGCUGUUAAGUCCGCCGCCUGGGAAGUACGGUCGCAAGACUGAAACUUAA
rnacentral:rRNA from 1 species